UACCAGCACCCCGAGUGGUCGGGACGAUUAUUGGGCCUAAAGCAUCCGUAGCCGGCCUUACAAGUCCCCCGUUAAAUCCAACUGCUUAACAGAUGGGCUGCGGAGGAUACUAUAAGACUAGGAGGCAGGAGAGGCAAGCGGUACUCAGUGGGUAGGGGUAAAAUCCAUUGAUCCAUUGAAGACCACCAGUGGCGAAGGCGGCUUGCCAGAAUGCGCUCGACGGUGAGGGAUGAAGGCCAGGGGAGCAAACGGG
rnacentral:rRNA from 1 species